rnacentral:rRNA from 1 species
UACGGAGGAUGCGAGCGUUAUCCGGAUUUAUUGGGUUUAAAGGGUGCGUAGGUGGCCAAUUAAGUCAGUGGUGAAAGUUUGUCGCUCAACGAUAAAAUUGCCAUUGAAACUGGUUGGCUUGAGUAUGUUUGAGGUAGGCGGAAUGCGUAGUGUAGCGGUGAAAUGCAUAGAUAUUACGCAGAACUCCAAUUGCGAAGGCAGCUUACUAAACCAUAACUGACACUGAUGCACGAAAGCGUGGGUAUCAAACAGG